CUCUGUUUCUAUUUAUGAUGAGCAUAAGGCCAGCUACUGUCUUGAAAUUACAAAGUGUCUAUGACCACUAAUAAAUAUGUAAUCUCAAGAAAGCAAAGUCCAUAUUUUACAUUUGUAAACCCUUGUAAGACCUGAUGCAUGACUCAGAAAUUAUUGUCUGAAUAAAUGGAGGAGUAAUUGAAUAAAGGUACCAGACUGAACAUGAAGAGAAGUUGUAUUUGAUACAGUCAGUCUGGCUUAUUUAUUUAAUAACCGUUCCUCCAAUUUCUAAUUCAAACCCCAACACUUGAGUUUCUAUAUUCCAAAUGUUCUUUCUGGUUUGAAGCAGCUAUAGAUACUGUAUUUGUUUGCCUUUUUAUUUAUACCCCCAUCUCUUUCCGGAAACAACUUCAAAUGACUUAGAAGGACAUAUGAAAUUCAGGAUGAAAUUAAUUAAAAAUGAGAAGGAAAGAAGACAGGAAAGGCAGGAUGGGUGUAUAAAAUACAGUUCGGAAUAGGGUUAAAAUAGCCAGGC
rnacentral:lncRNA from 1 species